rnacentral:lncRNA from 1 species
GACUAUAUAUCAAGUCAAUUAAAGAAAAAAAAAAGGUGUCCAUUCAUAUCUUAUCCCAGUGUGAGCAUGAACUGUAAAUUUAAACAACAUCAAAGUGAGAAAGGCAUAGGUAACUCAAUCAAUUCUUGUAAAAGAUAAACAAAAUCCAAUAUACUAAUAUUAAGCAUGGAAAGAAAAUGUUACAAGAAGAUGCUCCUAAUUGUACUAGUUGUCACCAUAAUAAAGGUGCAACAAGUAACUGAAGCAUUAGAUGAUGUUGAUGAAUUCUUGAUGGAAUCACAAACAAGCACUAUGAUUCUUGCUGGUAAUGCUAGAGACCAACAUCUAUCUUUCGACGCGACGGGGAGUAAAGGAGAGAUAUGUAAGGAAAAUAUUAAAGGUAAUUGCAUCGAUAAUGAGAACCUUAACGCACAACACUGCACCUAUGGUAGCCGUUGCAAACAUGAUGUAAUAUCCUCGUAAAUAUAUGGUCUCCAAAAGCCUGUUUAAUUUGCUUUACUAGCUUGAACCAAUUAAUAAUAUCUUCUCUUGUCUUGUUAAAGAAAUGAACUUCUUGUAUGUAUUUGUUGUGUGUCGUGAGUACUAAAUGCUUAUCAAAUUGAUGAUGGUGUCUUAUUUGACUCCAAUUCAAUCACAAUUGGUCUCAAAACUCUAAUAUAUCACUAUGAUUUUGGUUGAAAUAACAAAAUCGUGAAAAGGUAUUAACAAUUACUAAGAUUAUAUUUGUACACGAUUGAAAACAUGAGCAACAAAGUGCUAAAAUAAAUCGUUUCUUGAUGUCUAUUUCACGUUUCUGGUCUAAGCUAGCUCAAAGAGGAAUGACUUUUAAUUUACUCAUGUUCGAUAAUUUUGUCAAGCCCGACCUCAUUUAAUUGCAUUAAGAUUUAAAUAUCUAAAUUUAAAUAUACAUCUGAAUGAUUACUAUAUUGUCUCUAUAUCUGAAACAUUAAAUGAUUAAUGUUGUUAUCUUACCAAGUAUAGUAUGAGUUAAGUUUUUUAAAAAAAGGUAUAUAUUCAAACAGGUCCGGAAGUUGUGUAAGAAGUUCGACUAUUGCCCAAGUGCAUUGAAGCCAAAAGUUUGAAAGGUCGAUUGUCAAUUUGUCAUAAUUAGUGUGUUUGAGAAAAAAUCUAAUGAAAUUCAGUUCAAACUUACUGAAUUUGCUUUAAAUCGCGUCAAACGAUACUGAAGAUUACCAUUGAAGCAGGGAGGAUUGUCCACUUUUAUUAAAAGUAUAUUUUUAUUUUUAGUUGUUACUAUUAGCAUAUCAAGGAAAAAAAUUAUUUUUCCCUCAUGUGUUACUGUUAGAGCGAUCAAUAUGAG